rnacentral:rRNA from 1 species
UGGAGAAUCUUGCACAAUGGGGGAAACCCUGAUGCAGCAACGCCGCGUGAAGGAAGACGGCCCUUGGGUUGUAAACUUCUGUUCUAAGGGAAGAUAGUGACGGUACCUUAGGAGCAAGUCCCGGCUAACUACGUGCCAGCAGCCGCGGUAAUACGUAGGGGGCGAGCGUUAUCCGGAAUUACUGGGCGUAAAGGGCGUGUAGGCGGCAGUAUAAGUCCGGAGUGAAAGUCCUGCUUUCAAGGUGGGAAUUGCUUUGGAGACUGUACAGCUUGAGUGCGGAAGAGGUAAGUGGAAUUCCCAGUGUAGCGGUGAAAUGCGUAGAGAUUGGGAGGAACACCAGUGGCGAAGGCGACUUACUGGGCCGUAACUGACGCUGAGGCGCGAAAGCGUGGGGAGCGAACAGGAUUAGAUACCCUGGUAGU